CUCAUUUGCCGAGACAGCCGGAUGUUCCUCCUUCCGGCUGUCUCGACAAAUAAGAU
rnacentral:precursor_RNA from 1 species